rnacentral:rRNA from 1 species
UACGGAGGGUGCAAGCGUUAUCCGGAUUCACUGGGUUUAAAGGGUGCGUAGGUGGGUUGGUAAGUCCGUGGUGAAAUCCCCGAGCUUAACUCGGAAACUGCCGUGGAUACUAUCAAUCUUGAAUACUGUGGAGGUAAGCGGAAUAUGUCAUGUAGCGGUGAAAUGCUUAGAUAUGACAUAGAACACCGAUAGCGAAGGCAGCUUGCUACACAGUCAUUGACACUGAGGCACGAAAGCGUGGGGAGCAAACAGG